AACGAACGCUGGCGGCAGGCUUAACACAUGCAAGUCGAGCGCCCCGCAAGGGGAGCGGCAGACGGGUGAGUAACGCGUGGGAAUCUACCGAGCCCUAAGGAAUAGCUCCGGGAAACUGGAAUUAAUACCUUAUACGCCCUUCGGGGGAAAGAUUUAUCGGGGUUUGAUGAGCCCGCGUUGGAUUAGCUAGUUGGUGGGGUAAAGGCCUACCAAGGCGACGAUCCAUAGCUGGUCUGAGAGGAUGAUCAGCCACAUUGGGACUGAGACACGGCCCAAACUCCUACGGGAGGCAGCAGUGGGGAAUAUUGGACAAUGGGCGCAAGCCUGAUCCAGCCAUGCCGCGUGAGUGAUGAAGGCCCUAGGGUUGUAAAGCUCUUUCACCGGUGAAGAUAAUGACGGUAACCGGAGAAGAAGCCCCGGCUAACUUCGUGCCAGCCGCCGCUGUAA
rnacentral:rRNA from 1 species